rnacentral:rRNA from 1 species
UCUGAAUCUGCGAACGGCUCCGCAAACCAGUUGUAAACCAUAGCAAGCACGCCUUGGGCCGCCGCAAGGCGGUCCUUGGCUAUAGGGAUAACCCUGGUAAUUCUGAGGCUAAUACAUGAACGUAACCCCCGGCCGACGGGCAACUGGAAGCCGGGGACCGUGCGAGUUAAGCGUAACGAUUUAUCGGAGUAGUCGCACAGUACGACCACCAUAAAAACGGUAUCCGCUUCGCUGCCUCACGGCGGCUGGCGGUGUCCGGGUGGCUCUUGCAAGGUGCUUCUGACCUAUCAACUAGAUGGCAGCGUAACGGACAUGCUAUGGU